rnacentral:lncRNA from 1 species
UUUCCGGGCAAUUUUCACAAAAAAAUAAAGUUACAAGAAAUUUUCCCCCAUAGGUCUCUGCCUACCGGAUAUCUGCUGAGGAACAAACCCGAAGCUGCUUCCUGAGGCUGGGUGGUCGGCUCUCCCCACCCAACCAGAGCCAGCCGGGCAGGACGGUUCUUGCUGAGCCUCAGGAGGGUCUUCACAGACAACUGAAGCAACGCGAAUGUCAAAUUUACAGAUGUCCUGAGUAUCCACAGCGAGACACAAACAAGUAGUGAAGCCACGUACCCCAUCGCUGCUUCAUCGUUCCACUGCAAUAAUUCCAGAUACGAUUAGUUGUGGCUACAGAGUUAAGCCCCGUUGUUAAUUAUUUUUUGGUAUUUUUUGGGGCCAAAGUCAUGGGCAUAGAAUUCAAAUGUUGUUCCUUUACUGCGGUCAGACUGAUCUCACAUGACGCGGUUUGCUUCUCUGACUCGUGUGUCCAUCUUCUCCCUUUUCUGUCAUUAUUAUUAGGCCAUUAUUGAAUUUCCAAGGCAUGACCCUUGUUAGGAAAUGAUGGAAACAACACAGUUGCUCUAUAAUCACCAAUUACGUUGUGACUUCUUACAAAUAAGCGCACUCAACUUUCAGCGUUACUCAUUCAUUGUAAAAUGGCCGCGGUGUGAUCAGGGGUAUCAGCUCACUUCACACAAUCAGAACUUGUUCGUCUGGGACGUCCUGAAUGAUGCCAAAACCUGUGCUCCAGAUGGGCGAGAGUGUGAACGAGAACCACCUCAGGAGAGCCUCCUGCCUGGAGCCCCGUGCCGAACUGUAUGGAGGGGGUGGGGGGCUGAGAGGGAAUAAGAGAGGUGACCUUGCCAUGUAGACUGUUCCUCUGAGAGUAAAGAGCCCGCUGGAGGGAGCUGUUCCGACUCUAGUGCUGGGCUCUCCAGUGGUCUCAGUUAGAACAGCAACAUUGCUCAGGCUCAGGCCGGUGGGAAAACGGCCGGAAUUCAGGAGCCUCCGGUUUUCUUUUUCAGAUUCCCCCAAAUGUCUCAUUUUUAAAAAAAAAAAUGAGUUCAUGCUUUUGUGAAUCAGGAUUGAAAUAAAGGCCAUAC